AACGAACGCUGGCGGCAUGCCUAACACAUGCAAGUCGAACGAGACCUUCGGGUCUAGUGGCGCACGGGUGCGUAACGCGUGGGAACCUGCCCUUAGGUUCGGAAUAACUCCCCGAAAGGGGUGCUAAUACCGGAUAAUGUCUUCGGACCAAAGAUUUAUCGCCUUUGGAUGGGCCCGCGUUGGAUUAGCUAGUUGGUAGGGUAAAAGCCUACCAAGGCGACGAUCCAUAGCUGGUCUGAGAGGAUGAUCAGCCACACUGGGACUGAGACACGGCCCAGACUCCUACGAGAGGCAGCAGUGGGGAAUAUUGGACAAUGGGCGAAAGCCUGAUCCAGCAAUGCCGCGUGAGUGAUGAAGGCCUUAGGGUUGUAAAGCUCUUUUACCCGGGAUGAUAAUGACAGUACCGGGAGAAUAAGCUCCGGCUAACUCUGUG
rnacentral:rRNA from 1 species